rnacentral:rRNA from 1 species
AGAGUUUGAUCCUGGCUCAGGACGAACGCGGGCGGCGUGCCUAAUACAAUCAAGUCGAGCGAGCUUGCCUAGAGAUUUUUAGUGCUUGCACUUAAAUGAAACUAGAUACAAGCGAGCGGCGGACGGGUGAGUAACACGUGGGUAACCUGCCCAAGAGACUGGGAUAACACCUGGAAACAGAUGCUAAUACCGGAUAACAACACUAGACGCAUGUCUAGAGUUUGAAAGAUGGUUCUGCUAUCACUCUUGGAUGGACCUGCGGUGCAUUAGCUAGUUGGUAAGGUAACGGCUUACCAAGGCAAUGAUGCAUAGCCGAGUUGAGAGACUGAUCGGCCACAUUGGGACUGAGACACGGCCCAAACUCCUACGGGAGGCAGCAGUAGGGAAUCUUCCACAAUGGACGAAAGUCUGAUGGAGCAACGCCGCGUGAGUGAAGAAGGGUUUCGGCUCGUAAAGCUCUGUUGGUAGUGAAGAAAGAUAGAGGUAGUAACUGGCCUUUAUUUGACGGUAAUUACUUAGAGAGUCACGGCUAACUACGUGCCAGCAGCCGCGGUAAUACGUAGGUGGCAAGCGUUGUCCGGAUUUAUUGGGCGUAAAGCGAGUGCAGGCGGUUCAAUAAGUCUGAUGUGAAAGCCUUCGGCUCAACCGGAGAAUUGCAUCAGAAACUGUUGAACUUGAGUGCAGAAGAGGAGAGUGGAACUCCAUGUGUAGCGGUGGAAUGCGUAGAUAUAUGGAAGAACACCAGUGGCGAAGGCGGCUCUCUGGUCUGCAACUGACGCUGAGGCUCGAAAGCAUGGGUAGCGAACAGGAUUAGAUACCCUGGUAGUCCAUGCCGUAAACGAUGA